AUCAUUUCCUAAUAUCUAACUUCACGCUAGAUUCAACAUUCAACAUUCUUGCACCUGUAGUUCAUUUGUUGUAGACUUCCAGACUGAUAUAAAAUGCCAGGGUUACCUCCAAAUAUGCCAAACCCCGAGGCCAUCUUUGAGUCCUGGUGGCCAAUUAUCAUAGGAAUCAUAGGCGGGGUGGGGUACGCACUCAGGCAGUACAUGAGAGGUGCUCGAUGUAUCAGUGAACUGAAGCUUGAAGACAAGGUUGCCAUAGUAACAGGUGGAGGUUCAGGGAUUGGUAAACAACUUGCUAUUGACCUAGCCAAGAGAGGCUGUAAAGUUUAUACAACUGCAAGAAAUCAGGAGCAGGCAAAGGCUACAGAACAAGAUAUACGACAGAGCAGCAAGAGUGAACUGGUGCACUGUCUUGUGUGUGAGCUAGACAAAUUUUCAUCAGUUAAAAGUUUUGUUGCAGCCUUCAAGAAAAAAGAGGAACAGCUCCACUAUCUAGUGCACAAUGCUGGGGUGAUGAUGUGUGACUUUAAUAAAACAGAGGACGGCCAUGAAGAACAGUUCCAAGUCAACUACCUGUGUAAGCCCCACUUCUUAUUGUAACAGUUCCAUGUCAACUACCUGUGUAAGCCCCACUUCUUAUUGUAACAGUUCCAUGUCAACUACCUGUGUAAGCCCCACUUCUUAUUGUAACAGUUCCAUGUCAACUACAUGUGUAAGCCCCACUUCUUAUUAUAAGACACAGAGAAAAUAAAAACAUGCAGUUUAUAUGAACCAAAGAACUGUGUAUUUGGGCAUGUAUUAAAACAAAGAUAUAAUACAUGUAUUUGAUUUAAUCUUUAAAAAUAAUUUGUAUUUGAGCAAUGCUGCAUGUACCAUACUAAAACAAAGAUGAAUUCAUGCAUUUGAUUUGAUCUGUAGAGCUCUGUAUUUGAGCAUAUAUUUUAAGUGCAACUACCUUUAGUAUGUUAACAUGGUGAUUUCAAUCACUGUUAGGUUUUAUUAGUGAACAUGUUAAAGUCUAAGAUUUUCAUGAAAUGGUCAUCUGUUUAAUAUUUUUUUGUCUCAAUGAGUUAGCUCCCUUUCUGAUGACAAGCCUGCUACAGGAUUACCUGAAGAACUCCACUCCUAGCCGCGUUCUUCUGGCAACAGCCCCAGCCUAUAAGUUGGGAUCGUCAACAUUCACUGACUGUCCACCUGAGGACAAAUACAACACCGGGGAUGCGUACGCCCAGAGCAAGUUGGCACUAGUCCUUUUUGGGGUCACUCUGGCUGAAAAACUCAAAGAUGCUGAUGUUCAUGUCCACUGUGUUCUACCAGGCGUUGUAAACACCAAUAUUUAUCGACAUCUCCCAUUUAGAAAAAGUGCCUUUGUUGCUGUUUCAUUUGCUCCUUUUUUUUGGUUCCUGACGAAAACUCCAGAUGAUGGGGCACAAACCACCCUCUAUGCUUUACUGGGGGUAUCAGCUGGAAAAACAACUGGAAAAAUCUACAAGGAAUGUGCUGAGACUGAGUAUGCAGACAUUGUGAAGGAUGAGGAGUUACAGAAAUCUCUAUGGAAACAGACUCUGGAGUGGACCAAAGUAAAGGAGUUCGGGCAGUAACCGUUCAUUUAUCACCAGGCUGUUACAUUUCCACAGAGUUUUGCCAGGCAGACUCCGACUCACACACUGUAGACAAGAUGAUGAUCUGUAGAAUUAUUACUAGCAUAAUAACCGACCUGUAUAUGAUAUACUGUACUCAUGUAACACAGAGUAAUUGUUUAAGAUCGUUUGAUCAGUAUGUGCUUCCAAAGACUAUAUACUAGUAUAGCAUUAAUAAAGAUAUAUAUGUAUC
rnacentral:misc_RNA from 1 species